AUACGGAGGGAGCAAGCGUUACUCGGAAUCACUGGGCGUAAAGGGCGCGCAGGCGGUUUGGUAAGUCAGAUGUGAAAGCCCACGGCUCAACCGUGGAAGUGCAUUUGAAACUGUCAGACUUGAGUACUAGAGGGGAAAGUGGAAUUCCCGGUGUAGAGGUGAAAUUCGUAGAUAUCGGGAGGAAUACCGGUGGCGAAGGCGACUUUCUGGCUAGAUACUGACGCUGAGGCGCGAAAGCGUGGGGAGUAAACAGGAUUAGAAACCCCAGUAGUCC
rnacentral:rRNA from 1 species